GCUCCGGUGGCCUAGUGGUUAGAGCAUCUGUCCCGCAUGCAGGAGGUCGUGGGUUCGAUCCCCUGUCGAGUCA